UAGUCCACGCUGUAAACGAUGUCUACUAGCUGUUUGUGGUUUUAUACCGUGAGUAGCGCAGCUAACGCACUAAGUAGACCGCCUGGGGAGUACGGCCGCAAGGUUAAAACUCAAAUGAAUUGACGGGGGCCCGCACAAGCGGUGGAGCAUGUGGUUUAAUUCGAUGCAACGCGAAGAACCUUACCAUCCCUUGACAUCCAGAGAAUCUGUUAGAGAUAGUAGAGUGCCUUCGGGAACUCUGAGACAGGUGCUGCAUGGCUGUCGUCAGCUCGUGUCGUGAGAUGUUGGGUUAAGUCCCGCAACAAGCGCAACCCUUGUCCUUAGUUGCCAGCACGUAAUGGUGGGGACUCUAGAGAGACUGCCGGCGUAAGCCGCGAGGAAGGUGGGGAUGACGUCAAAUCAUCAUGGCCUUUAUGCCCAGGGCUACACACGUGCUACAAUGGCAGGUACAAAGAGUCGCUAAGCCGCGAGGUAGAGCUAAUCUCAGAAAA
rnacentral:rRNA from 1 species